AUUGAACGCUGGCGGCAGGCCUAACACAUGCAAGUCGAACGAGUGGCGGACGGGUGAGUAAUGUCAGGGAAACUGCCCGAUGGAGGGGGAUAACUACUGGAAACGGUAGCCAAUACCGCAUACCAUCGGAGGGGCCCAGAUGGGAUUAGCUAGUAGGUGGGGUAACGGCUCACCUAGGCUACGAUCCAUAGCUGGUCUGAGAGGAUGACCAGCCACACUGGAACGGAGACACGGUCCAGACUCCUACGGGCGGCAGCAGUGGGGAAUAUUGGACAAUGGGCGCAAGCCUGAUGCAGCCAUGCCGCGUGUAUGAAGAAGGCCUUCGGGUUGUAAAGUACUUUCCGCAGGGAGGCGUUACCCGCAGAAGAAGCACCGGCUAACUCCGUGCCAGCAGCCGCGGUAAUUC
rnacentral:rRNA from 1 species